rfam:Faecalibacterium prausnitzii SL3/3 draft genome.
CCGGACACCUUGACGGGCCGCACCGUAAAGCGACCCGGUCCCAACACCCG